AAAAAUAAAAGUUAUUUUUCAGCUGGGUUCCAAACUCACUCUGCAUACAUGCAUGAAAGAUUUGGGGUUGCAAACGCAAUGCAGCAUCGAUCGCGAAAUGUGAAGUGGGAAGAUGAAAGUUUUGCAUAAAAAACCUUAGUAGAUUACAAUUUUCCAGAAAUGCAAGAUCCAAGUAUACUGCUACCUGAGGAAGGUUAAGUAAUUCCCAAUUCACGAAAAAAGAAACCCUCAACCCAUAAGGCUUCCACGUUUCAACAAGGUCUCAAUGUGAAAGGGUUCCAAGAGCUGUUGCCGCUUCUUCAACUCAAACAGGGAAGAAAGCCUCCAAAAGAGGGUUGAAGAAAGAAGUUUCUUCCCCAUUAUUCCAACAACCCGUGAACUCGCCCUCCGAUUCAUUGCUGGACUCCUCGUCUGCAUCUGGAAAUGAGUACUGGGCACUGAGACGAAAUAUUUGAUGCUGGAGGAAGAAAGCUUUGGGCUAGGGGGAGAGUUGAGAGAGGUUGAAGAUCAGGUCAAAACCCUUGAAGAUGAGAAGCUUGAGCUCUUGAAUGAGCUUCUUGUGUUAGGACUCUUUGAUCCUUCAGAGUUGCAGUCUCAGGGUGAGCGUAUUGUAACUCCUGAGUCGAUAGCUUCUGUUUUUGUUUGAUAAUUGAAGUAUAUAUUGAUUUGAAUGGAUAGACAUUUGUGAAACAUGUUCAUGGUUACUAUCUGUACAAAAUGAGGUUAAAUUCUAGUUCAGUAAUUACCCAUUAAUUACAAUUAUUUUUAGCUC